rnacentral:rRNA from 1 species
UACGAAGGGGGCUAGCGUUGCUCGGAAUCACUGGGCGUAAAGGGCGCGUAGGCGGAUCUUAAGUCGGGGGUGAAAGCCUGUGGCUCAACCACAGAAUUGGCCUUCGAUACUGGGGAUCUCGAGACCGGAAGAGGCGAGUGGAAUUCCCGGUGUAGCGGUGAAAUGCGCAGAUAUCGGGAGGAACACCAAUUGCGAAGGCAGCUCGCUGGACGAUACUGACGCUGAGGCGCGAAAGCG